rnacentral:sRNA from 1 species
GACCAUCAUGAAGAUGUAGACCAACAUGAAGAUGUAGACCAACAUGAUGAAAAGGUAGACAUGUACAUGAAGACCAGCAUGACGAAGAUGUAGACCAACAUGAAGAUGUAGACUAACAUGAAGAUGUAGACUAACAUGAAGAUGUAGACCAACAUGAAGAUGUAGACCAGCAUAAUGAAGAUGUAGACCAACAUGAAGAAGAUGUAGACCAUCAUGAAGAUAUAGACAAACAUGAAGAUGUGGACCAACAUGAAGAUGUAGACCAACAUGAAGAUGUAGACCAGCAUGAUGAAGA